rnacentral:rRNA from 1 species
AACGAACGCUGGCGGCAGGCUUAACACAUGCAAGUCGAACGCUCGUAGCAAUACGGGAGUGGCGGACGGGUGAGUAACGCGUGGGAACGUGCCCUGAGGUACGGAAUAACUGAGGGAAACUUCAGCUAAUACCGUAUGAGCCCCGAGAGGGGGAAAGAUUUAUCGCCUUGGGAGCGGCCCGCGUCGGAUUAGCUAGUUGGUGGGGUAACGGCCUACCAAGGCUUCGAUCCGUAGCCGGUCUGAGAGGACGAUCAGCCACACUGGGACUGAGACACGGCCCAGACUCCUACGGGAGGCAGCAGUGGGGAAUCUUGCGCAAUGGGGGCAACCCUGACGCAGCCAUGCCGCGUGAACGAUGAAGGCCUUAGGGUUGUAAAGUUCUUUUACCCGUGACGAUGAUGACGGUAACGGGGAAUAAGCUCCGGCUAACUCGUGCCAGCAGCCGCGGUAAU